rnacentral:lncRNA from 1 species
UUUUUUUUUUUUUUUCCUGAUCGAGACACACACACACACACACACACACACACACACACACACACACACACCUGGGCAGGGUGGUGGGCCUCUAACUCACCUGGGCUCUGACCCAACCAUCACACUGUGUCCCCUCACUAACCUAAGGCCAAGGACUAAUGUUACAUCCUUUUGCCACUUUUGCCUGGACCACCUGGCCACCCCACUCUGCAAACAGCUGUAACUUCCACUUCACAGCAAGACAAAGGUUCUGAAGUUGAACAUCCAUUCUCUCCCCAAUACCUAGAACUGUAUCUGCACAAGCAUCCACCUUUCCUCCUUGUCUCUGGGGAGGAGACCUCCGUUACUCAGCAUCGGAGUCACCAUUACUCCUCCUCUCUCAUCUUUUCUUUAUUGGCUUGUCCCCAUUAACACAGGUUCAUGUGCAAGUCUCUUCACUAAAAAAAUUCUCCCUUGGAGUUCCCUGGUGGGAGUGUUUAUACCACAGAGACUGGCACAUGCUAUAAAUCAGGACUUUGUCUGGAGAGCUGGUUAUUAAACAUUGACCAGCAUCACCACUGCCUACAGGAAAUGAUGUCUAAAGUCCACUAAGUGCACAUUCAGUUUAGUCAGCAUUUGUUGGGUGAGGGAAUGAGUGUAUGAGUAAAUAGAAGUCUUAGGAGUCAAAAUUUUCUUCUUGAAAUUUCCAACUUUAUAUUUCUUGUACAACAAUGUUCCCAUCGGUUCGUUCAUUUAAAAAAUGAUCUUUGAAUAAACAGCUGUUGUGUUUUUCCUUAGUCUUCUAUUUUUCAUACUGAAGUACCUUGAUCCCUUGAGCCAUUCCUCAGGCCACUUGGCCCACGGGCAAUGACCCCAAGAGGUCUGUCUGUGCCUUCUAGAUAUGACACAAGGCUCCAGGGACGGUCUGAUCACCGCUGGCCACCAUGGAACCAUCCAUUCCAAUAAGUGGGGUGUGGGGUUUCAUUGCAGAAGCCCAAGAUGUGAGCUGUGCUCACACACAGACACACCCAUGUGUGUGCAUAUUACAGAUACCCAACUCCAUCAUACAUUUUGGCACUAAGUGGGUACUGAGACAAAGGGCCAGUGUUCACAUGGAUCCUUAUUAAUUUUAGUUUUUUUUUUGGUCUCAAUGUUCUAGUCCAUUGAGAUGUCAUUUAAUUUUGAUUCUGCCCUCUUGCAAUUUUUGCCCUCCUCUGGCCUCCAGCUUCUGAAUUAUGCAUCAGAGAUUCCUCCACAGGCAACAGAAGAGGAACCAUGGGAAAUAAGCAGCGAACAGUCACUGAGGAACGUCUUCCAUGAACAAGGUAUCAGGCAAGAUAUUUCCAUAUAUUUUGCCUCUUUAAUUCUAGUAACAACCAGCAAGCCAAGUGUUAAUGGUACCAUUUUAACAGAUGGGGACUUUGGUGCUUCAAGGCGUUAAAGAACUUAGCCAAAGUCAAGGGGAGCUGGAACUGGAACCCAUGUCUGCCUGAGUCGUAAGUCGAUAUUCUGGGUACACCUCUGCACUGCUUCCCAGAAAAUAUUCCUGAUGACUAAUAUUAGUAUUCAUGGAAUUCUUUCCUUCUGAGAUGCUUAUAACUUUAGGAGGCAAUUUCUAUUUCCCCACUAGCUUCUUUCUUUGGCCAAAUUUAGAUAAUCUCCUCUGAGUGACCAAAGAAUGGCCUAGACUGCCUUACCGCAAGGUAGUACGCCGCCCAGUGGGUCACUGCUGCCAUGUAGCCACUAAAGCAGUAGCAAAAUCAGCCCUCUCUUUGGAUCACGUGUUGGGCACUUAUGCACCAGGCUCUGUGUGACCCUUGCCAUUCACAUGAGGUAGAAAUGACUAUUAUUCUUGUUUUCUAUGUGUAUUAACUAAAGCCCCAAGAGGCAGAGUCACCUGCCCAGUCACAGCUAAGAGCAGGCAGAGCUGGCCUUCUGCACCCAUGCUUUCCUCCAAGAUACUCGAGAGCCUUCUUCACCCAAAGGGAUUCAGAAGCUCAAACUGUCUCAUAGGUCACUUGGAAAAUCCCUGGCCUGGUUGACCUUUUCUGUAAGAUCCUCUGGGUUUUCUAAGGGCAGCUCAUGUAUUUGCAAUCCAAUAACAUUCAGAUCCGUUUCCAAAUUCCAUUUAUUUUUUAACUCUAUUGUAAGAAGGAAAAUAAGCAAAGGAUGAGGAGAAAGAGGAGAGGGAUUUGUGCCUGUUCAUUCCAGAGCUAUAGUUCUUUUCUUCCCAGUGUUGCCAAUGUGGCUACGAGAGUCUAGUCCCUUCCAUCAUGUGCCUGUCUGAUGAUGUCAAAACGGUCAAUCACCCAGGCUCCUCAAGGCUGCUGGAUUCUGUGUCAGCAUCUACAUCAUGUCAGUGCCUGGAUGGGCCAACAGAGUCCUGACAGGUUUACUUCCUCCAGAUGGAUGUAUAAUCUCCACUCACUCCUAUGAAAAUGCUAUUUUUUUCCUUUGCUUGUUCUCUCUUACAUUCUCUCUCCUGCCCUGGACAGGUCCUGCCUAAACACUGUCACCACAAUGAAUCAUGAGCUGUCAGGCAGAGUGAAAUGUCAUACUGCAAGGGGCUUGAGCUGCUAACAGGAGCCUGAAAUCUUAAGAAACAACCCUUCUGAGGCCAGAAGAGCCGAGCAAAAAGAAGAGGCGGACUUACUGACCAACUUAGGAUACAGAGAGGGUCCUACAUGAACACUGUUGGCUAGAUUCCCAGUAGGGACACCUGCAUCAAAACUGUUUUUGCCCCUGAAGACUCUUCAAGUCUCACUGGAGGAUUCACCACCCAGCCCAGAUUUGGGUGUCAGCAUCAUUAGAAAAAGCUAGGUGAGUAUGUUCUAGGGAAAAUUCCAGGAGGUUUGUGAGGAGACAACACACAUUCUUGAUCACAUUGCAUCUGUCGGACAAGAGAUGGGGGUCAUAAUGACCUAUCCUUCCAGAACUAUGACACCAUGCCUCAUAAACAAAACAACCCAACUUAUUUCCUCUCCUCAGGACACCCUUAGUUCCAGACCCUGCAGCCCUGUUCUUGAGGGAGGGAGCCAAACCCACUGCCUGUCCUGGGUUUGAAGGAAAUUCCUUAGGAAAGAUUAAUCUGCAAUUCCACUGCUCACCAUCUCCAGGAAUGAAGAAAUAGGAUUUAGAAAAGUACUUUCAUUUAGGGUCUUCCUGUUGCCAGGACAACAGGACCAUUCAUCUUUCCACAGCUGAGUUCACUUACAAAAAAAAAACCACCAUUCAGUUCCUACUCAAUACAACACACAUUCGUGGAGCAUCUAGGAAUCUGGUUCUGUGCUAGAUCUUGAGGAUGUAAACACAGGUAACAGGACUCCUUCACUAAAGCAGUUUAUAAUUCCGUAGGAAGAUCCAAAUGUCUUAUAUAAUCAUGUUAGGUAUGCAAGAAAAGAAGUGUGUUUAAGGUUUAGAUGCAGAGAGCUAUAAAGAAGGAAGCACCUGUUCUGUAAGUGUGGGGGCUGUCCAAGAAGGUCCUAACAGGAGGUCAUAUGGCACAAGGAUUGGAAACAAAGUGCUGUGCUUCCUGUUCAAACUGGAGGACAGAAAAUACGUUAUCUCUACUACCUCCUGAAACUCUACUAAAAAUGAUGACAUGGGGAUUUUUUUUUAAGGAAUAAAUCUUUAAGGACAAAGAGAAUAAGAAUACCAAACUUAUUAUUUUGAAGCAGAGAGCAGAUAGGCAGCUGAUUACAGACCCAACAGAGCUGAAAAGGCUGAAAUCUUAGCUGGCAGUGGAGGUAACUGCCCUGCAGGACCCUAGAAAGUUACAGGAUUCCUCUAACAAUGAAGGUGAUGGUGAAGGUGACAGCAGGGGGAAGGGCUAAAGGUUGGUCUAAGAAGCAAUAAGACCCUCAGAUACCUUCCACCACCACCCUCUCCCUCUCCAGACUGUACAGACGCUGGAUUGGGGACAUGAGGUACAGCUGAAGGCAGAAAUGCUGUCCUAAAAAUAAGGGGAUUCAAGGAAAGUCUUCGUAGAGAAUUACAAAAGCAUUCUGUAUACUACAACCAGAACGAGAGUACCAGGCUCUUGGAAAAGAGUGAAAUUUUGGAGUUCCCAUUGUGGCUCUACAAUAAUGAACCUGACUAGUAUCCAUGAGGACUCAGGCUCAAUCCCUGGUCUCGCUCAGUGGGUUAAGGAUCUGGCAUUGCCAUGAGCUGUGGCGUAGGUCAUAGAUGCGACUCAGAUCCCACGUUGCUUUAUCUGUGGCUGGUAGCUGCAGCUCCAAUUCGACCCCUAGCCUGGGAACUUCCAUAAGUGGUGGGUGUGGCACUAAAAGACAAAAAAAAAAAAAAAAAAAAAAAAAAAAAAAAAAAAAAGAAAGAAAGAAAGAAGAGAGCAAAUUAUUUUUUUCCUGAAAAAAACCUGACUAGUCCAAGAGAUAAGACAAAUAAGGUUCCACAGUGGAACAACUCAGCCAGGUCGCCUAAGAGUGAAGCUGUUUCUAGUCAAUGAAUUCUACUCACAAGCCUGGAGAUUUUCAGGACACCACUCUUUUUUGGGUGAUUACUGAUAUUUCUGGGUUUAUUUACACUUUUUGUUUUUAUAAUGUGAUUAUUGAUAUUUCUAGAUUUACGUAUUUCUUUUCCAUUCCUUUUUUUUUUUUUUUUUUUUUUUUUUUUUGUCUUUUUGCCUUUUCUGGGGCUGCCCCUGCAGCAUAUGGAAGUUCCCAGACUAGGGGUCGGAUCAGAGCUGUAGCCACUGGCCUAUGCCAGAGCCACAGCAGCUCGGGAUCUGAGCCACGUCUGCGACCCACACCACAGCUCACAGCCAUGCCAGAUUCUUAACCCACUGAGCAAGGCCAGGGAUUUAACCCGCAACCUCAUGGUUCCUAAUCAGAUUCGUUAACCACUGAGCCAUGACAGGAACUCCUCCAUUCAUGUUUAUCACAGGAUAUUGAAUGUAGUUCCCUGUGGACCUUGUUGUUUCUCCAUUCCAUACAUAAUAGUUUGCAUCUGCUAACCCCAAACUCCCAGUCCAUCCCCCAUCCUUGGCAAACACAAGUCUGUUCUCUAUGUUUGUGAGUCUGUUUCUGUUUUGACAUAGGUUCAUUUGUGUCAUAUUUUAGAUUCCACACACAGGUGAUAUCAUAUGGUGUUUGUCUUUCUCUUUCUUACUUCACUUAAUGUGAUAAUCUCUAGGUCCAUCCAUGUUGCUGCAAAUGCAUUAUUUCAUUAUUUUUCAGGCUGCAUAAUAUUCCAUUAUGUGUAUGUGUGUAUAUAUAUAUACCACAUCUUCUUUAUCCAUUUAUCUCUUAAACUAGAAAAGACAGUCCAGAAUUUUCAGAUGUUUGAAAAGAGCUUCUCAUAUGAAAGACAAAACCAAACAAUAACCACAACGAAAGAGGAAAAAGGGAAUCUAGAAGAAAACCAAGAAAAUUCAUGGGAAAGGAAACUAUAAACUUGUAUAUGUUUUUCAAUAGUCUUAGAAUGGAAAGCAUUUUAUUAGUGAAAAAAAUCAAGAUGCUCUACAAAGAAGUGAGGGCACUUAUAGGACCAAAAAAUAAAGCACUCUUGGAAAUAAAAAAAAGCAGGAAGACUGAAAAACAUUGGGAAAAUAAGUUGAAGAGAUACCCCAGAGAAUAGAACAAAACACACACAGAGAAAAAGAAUGGUAUUAGAGAAAUAGCCCAGGAAUUCCAAGGAACUCCAGAAAGAGGGAGUGGCAAAAACAGAAGUUGUCACAUAACAAAUUCAAGACUCUUUCUCAGACUUGAAGACAUUGACUUCUGGAUUGUAAAAGUACACCAGUGGCCAGCACAAAGGAAGAACACAGACUCACACCAAGCACAUCAUUAUAAAACGUCAGAACUCUAGGGGCAGAAGACCUGGAUGUUUUCAGAAGGCCAUAUACAAAGGAUCCAGAGUCUGAAUGGUAUAAGAGUUGCCUAGUUUUCUUCUUUGCCUUUACCACUAAACCACUGGCAACAGCACUGGAAGCUAGAAAACAUGAAGCAGUGCCUUCAACACUCAAAAGGAAAAUAAUCUCCAGCCCAGAAUUCUAUACAUGGCCAAACUAUCAAUCAAAUGCGAGAGAAGAACAAACGUGUUUCCAGAUAUACAUGCUUUCAAAAACUUAACCUCCCAUGGACAUUUUCUUAGGAAGCUACUUCAGGAAAUGGUCUGGCAAAGAGAAGUGAUUCAUGAUAAAACGACAUGGGAUCCAGGAAACAAGGGACCCAGCACAGAAGAGAGGGAAAUGACUCUAGGAGGAGGAGGAAGAAAAAGCAGGAAAACAGAGUCUCCACAGCCCUAAAGUAGAGGGGAUACAGACUGGGGAGAAACAGGUCCAAGAAGGUGAACUUGAUGAAAUGCAUGUGAAUAUAC